CAGACAACCGUUGAUAUGCGAGAGUGACCUCGUAGAACAGUCUUCGUCGGAGGUCCAAAGGUGAUUGAGUCGGCCGUGAGGCUGUUUUGUUUUCUUACUCAGUUGACGUAAGUGUGUUAUUCGCGGAUCUCGAGCGCGCAAUUUAAGAAAAAGUUUGGUUGAAUCUUGGCAAUUUAUGCAUAAUAUUGGCAUCGAAUGUUCAUGAAGUUUGUUAAGCACAUGACUGAAUUCAUAUUUAAAUUAUGUGGUUCUAAUAUCGAAUUUCGCUGAAUUUGCAGGCACCGAUUUUAGAGGGCUUCAGAUCAAGGAAGUGCCGGAUGAUUCUUUCCUUUGCGCCAUAUUGUCGAUUUGUGAGUUGCAUUCCAAAAAGCCUGUCUAACUCACAUGUAUCAAUUUGGAGCAUCCUGGGCAGGGAAAAAUAAAUGAAUAAAACUUCUGGAAAACAGUUGUACUCCUAGUGAUCAUCCCAGUGAAAUAAUUGAGAAACAGGAGUAUAGUAGGAAACAUGUAAAUUACAUGGU